UGUGUACUAUCUAUUGCGAAUUUAUUGUUGAAACGUUCCUCCAGAAAUUGUCGAUUGUCCUUCCUUGCCAAACCAAAUUGGCAAGAGAGCAUGCAUUCAUUCCUUCUCUAUUUUGCAUUUAGACAGAAUAUAAGAAUUACUUGCCUGGGUGGAUGGCACCAUGCUAAUAAUUUUGUACUAAAUAUUGCAACCAUGCCUACUUGAGAAAUUGUUUUGCAAACGUGGAUGUCUUUCUCAAUCGUGUGAAAUCAUAUGCGCUCUUGUGUUAUAACAGCCACGUGGAAUCUAUGUAUCCAGUCACAAUUUACGAACGGGUGACGAUGGAUACAACAAAAGCGAUUAACUCGGCUGGGAAACGAAACUGCAGAAGUUGCAAGACAACGUGACAUGGGACCGUAUAUGUAAAAAAAUAUAUAUCAAGAUUUAAUCAGAUUGAAGAAUCCUGGGGUCCAGUCAGGGAAUCGGGAGGAGGAGUAAUCACACUAAUCUCCUAGGAUUAUGUCGACCUUGAAACUGACUUAAUUUCUACAGCCAUCCCUCUACGACGCCACAAUUAUCAACCUGGUCCGAUCUGACCCUCCAGGAAUGAAAUAACCCGUCUUUUCUUAUUGUACUUUGAGGAAUUUAAGUUUGCCGUUUUUGCACCUUAAUCCAUCCCCAUCAUUGGUGCUGGAUUGGGCAGCAAAAACGUCAAACUUAAAUUCGUCCACGUACAAUAACUCUAAUUU